rnacentral:rRNA from 1 species
CCUACGGGGCGCAGCAGUGGGGAAUAUUGGACAAUGGGCGAAAGCCUGAUCCAGCCAUGCCGCGUGUGUGAAGAAGGCCUUCGGGUUGUAAAGCACUUUCAGUGGGGAAGAAAGCCUUGGGGCUAAUACCCUCGAGGAAGGACAUCACCCACAGAAGAAGCACCGGCUAACUCCGUGCCAGCAGCCGCGGUAAUACGGAGGGUGCGAGCGUUAAUCGGAAUUACUGGGCGUAAAGCGCGCGUAGGCGGUCUGAUAAGCCGGUUGUGAAAGCCCCGGGCUCAACCUGGGAACGGCAUCCGGAACUGUCAGGCUAGAGUGCAGGAGAGGAAGGUAGAAUUACCGGUGUAGCGGUGAAAUGCGUAGAGAUCGGGAGGAAUACCAGUGGCGAAGGCGGCCUUCUGGACUGACACUGACGCUGAGGUGCGAAAGCGUGGGUAGCAAACAGGAUUAGAUACCCCAGUAGUC